rnacentral:lncRNA from 1 species
GUCCCAGCCCCUCGCGCGCGUCCGGACCCCGAGCUCGCUUCACGCCGUGGUUGUUUCUCACCUGGUGCUCUUCUUCUGGGUAAAUUUUACCCAAUCUUUCGCCCAUCACCUUCAACGAAUACAAUGAGAGCAAGGGGAGGGGAGAAAGGGUGAGGAAAACAAAAGCACACACCUCCUAAGAACACGCCUCCUGCUCUCUCUGGACCCCGCCUCCGAAGGGAAGCAACCGGGCAGCAGUGAUGGUUGACGCGUCAAGCGCCAUCUUUCACGUGGGCGGAAGAAGUUGCUCCUUAAUUUUCGUUGCCUCGUGGGACACCGUAGGUACGUUUUGGAGUUUUCGAUUUGAGGUUACGUGAACGCGCGAGGCCUGUGGAAGGGGGAGGGCCAAACUUGCUCCAUCCCUUUGUUCCCUGACGUGCUUCGUGAAAAUGUUGAGUAAGGUGUUAGCCGAGAUAGUACUGUUUUUAGUGGGGAAGGCUGCCGGCCCCGAGAAAGCCGAGUUGGUAGUUGUGAAUGAUUUUGUUUGUGCUUGAAAUGUCUUCUGUGCUGCUUUGGAGCUGGAGUUGAGGUCUUGUUGAUUACCUCCCAUUUACCAGGAUUACAGCAAAUUAGAUUUAACUGUGACUGGCAUGCGAACUGAGGUCGGACAUGGAUGAGGAAUAUUGCUAUAUAAACCACAGCAGGCUAUACACAUUUGCUAUUGAAAUCGACCACCUCAAUGCCUACGGUGUUACAAACAUGUGGUGGGCCCUCAUGGGAUGGAGGAAAGUGCACUGGAUUUGUAAUGCCACCUCUGUGUCUUAUUCCACAUAGGGUGAGUUCCUUUGUUUAGGACCCAUGGCUUCAGUCAAUCCCUUUGGUAA